ensembl:lncRNA
GAUCGAGAACAAGAAAGAAGUGAGACAGAGAAGCACGAUGGAUGAAUUCAGAUGGAUUCAAAUGUUUUCAUGUCUGAUGCUCAUGAUUCAGAUCGCAGUAUCUGUAACUGAAGCCUCCAUGUUUAUGAAAGUUGGAGAUGACGUCACUCUGCCUUGUCUGAAUGUGAUAGAUGAGCAGAAUAACUGUGAUGGGACUACGUGGACCUUUGUUUCAAGAAACAAACCAACAACAGUAGAGCUGAUCACACUUGGACAGAUUGGUGAAAAAGCCAAAACUCAAUCAGACAGACUGAGAGUUACAGUGAACUGUUCUCUGCUCAUAAAGAAGCUCACAGUCGAGGAUGUUGGUUUUUAUUACUGUCAACAAUACGAAGUCAAAGAAACACCAUCUAAACACACUCAGGUUCAUCAGUCUUUGGCUCGUCUCUCUGUUAUUACCUUGACUGAACAUAAGGACACUGAUACGGUGACGUUAAGCUGCUCUGUGCUGACAUAUGAACAGUGUCAUCACACAGUGAAGUGGCUGCUUACAGGUCGAGAUGUGGACAAAGAGAACAAAGAAAUAGUGACUUCACAGACUCACUGCGCUGCCACUGUGUCUUUUCUGAAGAAUAAUUAUUUAUACUCAUCACGUCAUAAAAUAUUGAAAUGUGAAGUGACUGACACUAACACAAGAAGAGUGCAGCUGUUUACUUUCGACCGUCAGCCAUCAGGUGACACAAAAACAACAAAGAAUCCAGCCAGAAAAACUGAAACAACCACAACAAUUAAGACGCUUCUAAAAUCAGAUGAUACAACAGCAAAAACUGUGGAAAGUGAAAACACGACACCAAACAACAAAUCAUCUGCAGAUUCACAACAUGCGAUCCAGUGGUUCAUCAUUCCAGCUGUGGGCUUCGUCUCACUCUUGAUAGUUGUUUUGUUUUUCAUCAGAUGGAAGAGAACUAGAG